GAGUUUGAUCGUGGCUCAGAUUGAACGCUGGCGGCAUGCCUUACACAUGCAAGUCGAACGGCAGCACGGGAGCUUGCUCCUGGUGGCGAGUGGCGAACGGGUGAGUAAUGCAUCGGAACGUAUCCUGGAGUGGGGGAUAACGUAGCGAAAGUUACGCUAAUACCGCAUAUUCUGUGAGCAGGAAAGCGGGGGACCUUCGGGCCUCGCGCUCUUGGAGCGGCCGAUGUCGGAUUAGCUAGUUGGUGAGGUAAAGGACGUCACCAAGGCGACGAUCCGUAGCAGGUCUGAGAGGAUGAUCUGCCACACUGGAACUGAGACACGGUCCAGACUCCUACGGGAGGCGAGCAGUGGGGAAUUUUGGACAAUGGGGGCAACCCUGAUCCAGCCAUGCCGCGUGAGUGAAGAAGGCCUCGG
rnacentral:rRNA from 1 species